UUCACAUUCGGUCAACGUUC
rnacentral:miRNA from 2 species